UGGGGAAUAUUGCACAAUGGGCGCAAGCCUGAUGCAGCGACGCCGCGUGGGGGAUGACGGCCUUCGGGUUGUAAACUCCUUUCGCUAGGGACGAAGCUUUUUGUGACGGUACCUAGAUAAGAAGCACCGGCUAACUACGUGCCAGCAGCCGCGGUAAUACGUAGGGUGCGAGCGUUGUCCGGAAUUACUGGGCGUAAAGGGCUCGUAGGUGGUUUGUCGCGUCGUCUGUGAAAUUCCGGGGCUUAACUCCGGGCGUGCAGGCGAUACGGGCAUAACUUGAGUACUGUAGGGGUAACUGGAAUUCCGGGUGUAGCGGUGAAAUGCGCAGAUAUCAGGAGGAACACCGAUGGCGAAGGCAGGUUACUGGGCAGUUACUGGCGCUGAGGAGCGAAAGCAUGGGUAGCGAACAGG
rnacentral:rRNA from 1 species